rnacentral:rRNA from 1 species
GGGAAUACUACAAAGCUAGGGAGUGGGAGAGGUAGACGGUACUCGGUAGGAAGGGGUAAAAUCCUUUGAUCUAUUGAUGACCACCUGUGGCGAAGGCGGUCUACCAGAACACGUCCGACGGUGAGGGAUGAAAGCUGGGGGAGCAAACCGGAUUAGAUACCCGGGUAGUCCCAGCCGUAAACCAUGCAAACUCAGUGAUGCAUUGGCUUGUGGCCAAUGCAGUGCUGCAGGGAAGCCGUUAAGUUUGCCGCCUGGGAAGUACGUACGCAAGUGUGAAACUUAAAGGAAUUGGCGGGGGAGCACCACAAGGGGUGAAGCCUGCGGUUCAAUUGGAGUCAACGCCAGAAAUCUUACCCGGAGAGACAGCAGAAUGAAGGUCAAGCUGAAGACUUUACCAGACAAGCUGAGAGGUGGUGCAUGGCCGUCGCCAGCUCGUGCCGUGAGAUGUCUUGUUAAGUCAGGUAACGAGCGAGAUCCCUGCCCCUAGUUGCCACCAUUACUCUCAGGAGUAGUGGGGCGAAUUAGCGGGACCGCCACAGUUAAUGUGGAGGAAGGAAGGGGCCACGGCAGGUCAGUAUGCCCCGAAACUCUGGGGCCACACGCGGGCUGCAAUGGUAGUGACAAUGUGUUCCAAAUCCGAAAGGAGGAGGUAAUCCUCAAACACUACCACAGUUAUGACUGAGGGCUGCAACUCGCCCUCACGAAUAUGGAAUCCCUAGUAACUGCGUGUCAUUAUCGCGCGGUGAAUACGUCCCUGCUCCUUGCACUCACCGCCCGU